rnacentral:rRNA from 1 species
UUAGGUGGAGGAUAAUCUCGGGAAACUGAGGAUAAUACUCCAUAGAUCUAGGAUGCUGGAAUGCAUCUAGAUUUAAAGCUCCGGCGCCUAAGGAUGAGUCUGCGGACUAUCAGGUUGUAGUCAGGGUAAAGACCUGACUAGCCUACGACGGAUACGGGUUGUGAGAGCAAUAACCCGGAGACGAUAUCUGAGACACGAUAUCGGGCCCUACGGGGCGCAGCAGGCGCGAAAACUUCACACUGUGCGAAAGCGCGAUGAGGGAAUCCCAAGUGUUUGCUCGUAAGAGUAAACUGUUUCUUUGUUUAAAACGCAGAGAGAGUAAGGGCUGGGUAAGACGGGUGCCAGCCGCCGCGGUAAUACCUGCAGCUCAAGUGGUGAUCAUUAUUAUUGGGCCUAAAACGUCCGUAGCCGGUUUAGUAAAUGCCUGGGUAAAUCGUGUAGCUUAACUAUACGAAUUCCGGGUAGACUGCUAAACUUGAGACCGGGAGAGGCUAGAGGUACUCCUGGGGUAGAGGUGAAAUUCUGUAAUCCUAGGGGGACCACCAGUGGCGAAGGCGUCUAGCUAGAACGGGUCUGACGGUGAGGGACGAAGCCCUGGGGCACAAACCGGAUUAGAUACCCGGGUAGUCCAGGGUGUAAACGCUGCUUGCUUGAUGUUAGUUGGGCUCCGAGCCCAACUAGUGUCGGAGAGAAGUUGUUAAGCAAGCUGCCUGGGAAGUACGGUCGCAAGGCUGAAACUUAAAGGAAUUGGCGGGGGAGCACAGCAACGGGUGGAGCGUGCGGUUUAAUUGGAUUCAACGCCGGG